UUUGAUCACGUACAAGUGUGGAGUGAAAGCGAAUGUCACGGAUCAUCACUAUCAAACAACGACUUGAUUGGAUAUAUCAAGUUAGCUUUUGGGUUUUUGUGUGAAUAUGUGAAAGAAGGAAACAGUUCAAGUGGUGGAAUUGGUGAUCCGUUUCCCAUCACGUCCGAAGGAGUUUGGGCGAUUUCUUAACGUUCUGAAUAGAUCUCGUUCCCAAGUUUUCAGAACAGUUUUUCGAUCCAAAAUCAGAGGUAAGAUCAAUCGGAAAAUUGCGUUUAGAGUUGGUGAAUAGUCACAGUUUUCAGAGCGCAGUUUUUUCUAAAGUAUCUGAGAAACAUUGUAGUUUCAGGUAGAGGUUUUCAGGAUCAAUUUCCCGCUGAAUCAGAGAGAAUCAAGUGUGGCGUGAGGUGUCAUUGCAAUAAUCAUAAUGUUAAGAAUCCAUGGCCGCUGACAGAGAUAGAAUCGAGAUUAUAUUAAAGAAGUUAUGAGUAUUUCCUUCUGGGCAAGUAACUGUAGAAGCUGUCCAAAUCUGUGCUAAGUAUAAAUCCAGAACAGUGUGUGACUAUUGGUUUUGCGAUGCGUUUUCCCGAUGGACCAAAAGGAAUUAGAUCACGAUCAAGACGUCUAUGGAAAGAUCUUGCUUCAAGGAAUUUAGAGUAGCUGACAUCUUGACCAUCGGAUUUAAGCUCCAUCCGUAUUUGACUUUGAAAGGUUGCCCAGAAUCAUCUCAAGUUGCAGAAACCUAGAUAUCAGUUCUGAUGCAUCAUAUUCAGAAGAACGUGGGAGAUUCAUGUGAGGUCUGAUCGAGAUGAAACGUCGUGGACUUAUUCGUGAUACUACUGGCUAUAUAUUAAACGGUGGGAUCACGUUUCUAACGGUUAGUUCUCGACUUAUGAGUAUGUUACUGAGACAGUUUUGUAUAGAGUAAACCAUGACAAGGUUUUAUUGUUUGAAUGGGAAACGGGUUCGGUUGGAGCUGAAGCUUUGCAGAAGCCUUUAGGACUCAUGGAGUAAGGUUUUGGUUGAUGGAGAAGCAAGGUGGAGCUCAAGAGUAUGCAGUUAAAGCUCCUAUAGUAUGUUGGUUUAAAAGGAGAGAAAGGAGAAUAGAGAUGUUCUUCAUCUUCAACUAGGCUAAGGUGAGGGUGGUAUUUGCGGAACAUGGUAUCAUUUUCUUUUGUUAUGCUUCUUGACGCAUGAUAUGUAGGCUUAGAUAUGAUUGUAUAGGAUAAGAUUACAUGAUGAUAUGAUUUUAUGAUUGUUGAGUAUGAUGUUUGAUAAUGUGAUGUUAUGUAUGAUAUUAUAAGUAUGUGUAUGUUAAGUAUGAUUAUGAGUAUGUAUGUAUGAUGAAUGUAAGAUUGGGGAGAAUCGAGCUAUGGGCCGUGGUCUCCCUAGUGAUGUGGACAGUGAUGGACCGACGGGUUAACAGCUGGUCAAGAACGGCUGACGAGCCCGGAAUGGGAGUGUCUGAGCCACGAGGGCCAGCCUCCACCUAUGAGGUUCUAGUCGUCACGAGGAUGACUGGACCUAACGAUGUGUAUGUUUACAUUAAUAUAAAUAAGAUGAUUGUUAUGAAUUUGUUAUUAGAAGUUAAAGCAUGUUAGAUUGAUUGCUUGUGUCUAAGUUUAUAUGUUAUGAUGAUGGUUGUAUAGCUUUAGAAAGUGUUUUAUGUUUCAGUGGGCAGAGUUGAUUCCUCUCCCUGAGUAUUCUUUACUCACCCCCUUUUCUUCCUUUUUCCUCAGGUUAGUAAGCGUGAGGAGUUGUGUGCAAUAUUUUGUUCGAGUAUGAAGUUUAAAGAAAACUUUUUUGGCAAGAUCAGAUGAAUAACAUGCCGUCUUAAUCUAUAUUGCGGGGCGGGUGUUACAUGUGGUCCUGCAUCUCCACACGUAAUAACACUAAAUUUGGAUAAUCUCUAGCUAAUUAUAU
rnacentral:sRNA from 1 species